rnacentral:rRNA from 1 species
UACGUAGGGGCGUAGCGUUUGUCCGGAAUUACUGGGCGUAAAGAGCUCGUAGGUGGUUUGUCGCGUUGUUCGUGAAAACUCACAGCUUAACUGUGGGCGUGCGGUCGAUACGGGCAUCACUUGGAGUUCGGCAGGGGAGACUGGAAUUCCUGGUGUUAGCGGUGAAAAUGCGCAGAUAUCAGGGAGGGAAACACCCGGGUGGGCGAAAGGCGGGGUCUCUGGGGCCCGAUACUG